UGUGACGGAGGCGCCCACGUGCUCGGCCCGCCCGUGUUACGGCCGCCUACCGGCUGCAGAGGAGAAGGGAGGAAAGGGUGGAAUCUCAACACAAGUGGUAGGCAACUUUGAAAACAAUAAAUAGAUGAAGAAUGGAGAGACCUCAAAAGGAGAGUCUGGGAACCCUAGCCAAAGGGCCUGGCUCUGUCAUCCAGACUGGAAUGCAGUGUUGGAGUCACAGCUCACUGCAGCCUCAACCUCUCAGGCUCAAGUGAACCUCCCACCCCAGCUUCCCAG
rnacentral:lncRNA from 1 species